UACGGGGGGGGCAAGCGUUGUUCGGAAUUACUGGGCGUAAAGGGCUCGUAGGCGGCCAACUAAGUCAGACGUGAAAUCCCCAGGCUCAACCUGGGAACUGCGUCUGAUACUGGAUGGCUUGAAUCCGGGAGAGGGAUGCAGAAUUCCAGGUGCAGCGGAGAAAUGCGUAGAUAUCUGGAGGAAUACCGGUGGCGAAGGCGGUAUCCUGGACCGGCAUUGACGCUGAGGAGCGAAAGCCAGGGGAGCAAACGGG
rnacentral:rRNA from 1 species